UCCGGUUAUAUGACCAUAUUGACGAUCUAUGUGGUGAUUCAAGACCAUCUCCAUCUCCUUAUUUUGGCCAUGAUUGUGCUAAUGAGAAGAAAAACGAAGAGGGUUUUGAGUUUUGACCAAGGAAAGAAAAGAAUCCAACCACAAGAGCAAUGCUUCUUUGGCAUUAGCUGCAAUGAUUGAAACCAAUGGUCCUGAGGUUGAUGUUUUGGAAGGGACUGCUUGGGUUGGUUUGGGUGUAUGUGUCAUGGCUGUUGGAAAUUGGUAGGAUUAACUUUUGGUUUUUGUUUGUUAAAAUCAAUAUUGUCACAAUGGUUUGUAGAGAACAUAUUCCAAACAUCAGUUGCUUUGAUCUUAAGCUCUUUUAUGACUGCUUCACAUUUCCCAUGGUUAACACCAUACUCAUUGGGGUGGUCAAUCUACGACAUAAGAGCAACUACAAUGGUGCUUUUUGGCAUGGUUUUUAAACCAAAAAACUUGUGAAUAAGAUCAACAACUAUUGCGAGAACCUUUUCACUUUUAAUGGUCUGUGCGGUUGCAGACAAUUUGUAGGAGACUUCUCAUUUUUGUGAUAUUUUCUGCACCUAUAAGCAAUUGGUAGGAGCUUUUUUAUUGGUUAUUUUUAUCUUUUAGUUACUUUCAUGUAUUUCAACAAAUACAUGACAAAGUAAUAUUUUGGCCAAAAUCCACCAUCAGGCUUUUGCAUCAUGGCUGGUGGGAAGUAUUGAUUAUGAUCUUUUGGUUGAAAUUUUGUAUGUGAAAUUGGAGUUUGGAGGACUCGGGCAGUUUGUGCUUAAAACAUGGUCUUGCCAGAAAUUAUUUCUUCGAUAUCUUGGUUGUAGGUUUUUCUUU